GGUUAUCCGAAUCCUUUUUAAUCAGCUUUUUAUUUCUAGGUUGAAAACCUGUGCUAAAAAAUGAACUCUUAGUAGCUCAACCCUGAUCCUUGUUGCAAGCCAUGAGUCUAGCCAGAUUACAUGAGGAUAUAUUUAUACAAACCAGAUCCUCUUUUAGAACUCCCUUGCCAAGAUUAGGAUCGCAUGGAUCAGAAACCCAUGUUACGGAAUCACCAAAAAAAUUACCUACACCAACCCCCAAAUUUCAGAUUAAAAGAUUGACCCAAGCUCAGUUAAAGGUUCGAAGAGAUAAAGGUCUUUGCUACAACUAUGAUGAAAUGUUUGUGGCAGGCCAUAAGUGUAAAGGCAGAAUGUUUAUGCUCUCUACUGACGAAGAGGAGUUAUUAGAGAUCAUUGACAAUGAGUUGAUUGAAGAACCCUUAUGCUCUAACAUUGAUGAUUUGGUGCAAAAAAUUCCAGAAAUCAGUUUUCAUGCUUUAGCUGGUCAUAUUAGUCCUCAAACCAUUAGAUUAACCGGGAGAUUUGGGGAACACAAGCUAUAAAUUUUGGUGGACAGUGGGAGCACUCAUAACUUUUAUCCAGGAAUCCACGACUCUUAAAAUGGGAUGCCCUAUCAGUCCUCCAUCAUUUAAGGUCUACAUUGGAAAUGGGCAGCACCUUUGCUGUGAUAAGAAAUGCAGGGACAUUUCCAUCAUAAUCCAAGGCUAUGCUUUCACAUUUGAUUUAUUUGUCUUUCCCAUUCAAGGAGCUAAUGUGGUCUUAGGGGUUCAAUGGUUGGAAUUGUUGGGCCAUGUUCUUACUGAUUACAAGGAAUCUUCUAUGGCCUUCACCUGGCAAGGUCAACAGAUUAAGUUGACAGAGGAGUCAUCUCUUAAGGAUGCAGCUUUACCUAUCGGUCAAUUGAGGAAGCUAAUUGGAAAGGUGGAGAUAGCCUCCUUGUUCCAUUUUAAGGUUUUGGAGGCUAAUAAAGAAGAGAGGCCCAAUUGGAAGCACCUACCUGUGGCAAUAUAGUUAACACUCAAUGCUUUUCCGAUGGUAUUUGAGAAACCUAUUCUGCUACCUCCAACUCGAGGCAACGAUCAUGGUAGUCACCUGGUUCCGAGAGCUCAAUCAGUGAAUGUGAGUGUGCGACCCUACAGAGCUGGAAGGUCUUCGUGGUCACUGGUGAGUCUCAUCAACAUCACGCCCAAAGCAACAAGAACGGAAGGGGUAAGGAUUGAUCGCCGACUCUUUUUGUUCUUUAUUAUCAUCUUUGUUGAGGCUCGAUAAACUCUGAUGAAACUCUAAAUUCUGAAGUGGCAUAGCUAGCUCUGAGGUUUCAACGUCAGAAACCCUAGCGGGUAGCAGCUACUCUCCCUCUCCAACACACUAGGGUAGAGCCAUUUUCUCUCCCUCUCCACAGUUCUGGGACUCUGUCGGUUACAGAAACAUUAACUCUCCUCUCCAACUGAAAGAGGAGUUUUCCAAGCAAUGUCCUAUCUGAAGCUCCAGCUGAGAAGAAGGUUUCAACAGUGGAGUUGCCAAGACUGUUGCUAGAGUACCCAUUGGCAUGCCUUGAGCACCAGUGUACAUUACGCGGUCUGGACCCCACAUAGACGAAUCUAGUGGCAGCAUCUUGAGAAGUAGCAGUAGCAGCACCACCACCAUUAGCAAAGUGGGAUGGAGUUUAUAUUUUUCUUUUUACCAAUUGAAUUUUCGUACCACAUCAUUGAUCAGGCCUAGUUCCCCAUACGGGGACAUCCUCGACAACAAUGCUUCUUCACUUACUCUAGAACCCAUCAAGCUUUCUAAUUCAUUACGAACCA